UACGUAGGGGGCAAGCGUUGUCCGGAAUUAUUGGGCGUAAAGAGCUCGUAGGCGGUCUGUCACGUCGGCUGUGAAAACCCGAGGCUCAACCUCGGGCCUGCAGUCGAUACGGGCAAACUAGAGUACUGCAGGGGAGACUGGAAUUCCUGGUGUAGCGGUGAAAUGCGCAGAUAUCAGGAGGAACACCGGUGGCGGAAGGCGGGUCUCUGGGCAGGUAACUGACGCUGGAGGAGCGAAAGCCGUGGGGAGCGA
rnacentral:rRNA from 1 species